rnacentral:rRNA from 1 species
GACGAACGCUGGCGGCGUGCUUAACACAUGCAAGUCGAACGGAAAGGCCUGCUUUCCCUUGUGGAUUGCGGGUACUCGAGUGGCGAACGGGUGAGUAACACGUGAGUGAUCUGCCCCCAACUUGGGUAUAAGCCUGGGAAACUGGGUCUAAUUCCCGAUAGGACUGCAGGGUGGUGCCUGUGGUGGAAAACGAUUUUCUAGUGGUUGGGGAUGAGCUCGCGGCCUAUCAGCUUGUUGGUGGGGUAAUGGCCUACCAAGGCGGCGACGGGUAGCCGGCCUGGGAGAGUGGACGGCCACAUUGGGACUGGGAUACGGCCCAGACUGCUACGGGAGGCAGCAGUGGGGAAGAUUGCACAAUGGGCGGAAGCCUGAUGCAGCGACGCCGCGUGGGGGAUGACGGCCUUCGGGUUGUAAACUCCUUUCGACCGCGAGGAAGCCACCUGGUUGGAAGGGUGGUGACGGUAGUGGUAGAAGAAGCACCGGCUAACUACGUG